GUCCUGGUGGGUGGCACUGACCUUGGGCUAACAGGCCCGGGGAAGAAUACCAAUAGCAUCUGCCAGCAUCUGUGUCAGUAUGCUUGUGUGAGGUCACAAUAAUGUCUGCUGCCAAUGUCUCAGUCCCUGGAGAGGUCUCACCUCUCAACAAGAUGCACCCAGAGCCUAUCAGGAUGUCUGAAGCAAUCAAGAUAUUAAUACCUUAGCAUCCAUUGCCAUAAGAACAUGUCAUUCCUUCGUCCAAGAUUUAUGCUACGUAAUAGGGAUGCAAUGAUGGAAAAAAAGAACACAACAGCAAUGAUAAAACCUACAUAAUACAAAAUUGUACUUUUUUGUAGAAAUCAAUAGUCUACAACAAACAGAUAUCACCAAAACACUAUAGCUCCAUAUGCCUGCAAAGCUUUGCUGAUCCUCCCAGCAUUUAUUAUGUAUCUGAUUGUGUGGGUGGCCACCCUCAUAAGAGCAGUUGGGACAAAAAUGGUAAAUCUCGUCUUGGAAUUCAAAAGACACCAUAACAGAUGUUAUACAAAAGGAAUGAGAAUACAGAAGGAAGAAAAGAAGAGCUGUUAUGAACCUCUACAGAGAUAAGAUGAAAUGAGAAUGUGGACCAGAGUAUUUCUGUUCAUUGCAUCCCUCACUCCCAAUAACCAUGAGAAUGAUAGGGUGAGGAGGGGACAUCCUCUGGAUAUUUGAAGUGGGCUGGGAAGAAUGGUCUGGACCAUCACCUAUAUCUGAUCCAUCCAGAAAUCCAGGAGUUGGCAGUCUAAGGGUGAUUUUUGUUUCCAAAUGUGGAGGCUGUCGACAUGCUGUAAAAUGUUCUCUCGUGAUGCUGGGCAUCAACAGCGAGCAACAGCUCCCACUCAGCCCCACGAUCAUGAGGCUUGUGUGCACGGCUGACGAUCCUGAACUACCUUUCUACAGGCUGAAUUCCACACUAACACUGCUGGAGGAAUUAGAACACGUCGAAGCAUGAAAGGCUAGAAUGCAGACAUGGGAGCAACUCAACAUCAAACAUGCAGAUGAUGACAACUAACCCGUAGGGAAUAGUAGAACAACAAAAUGGCAGAAACCUGUGUCCUUAAGAGACUCCAUGGAUCAGAGCCACUCUGCUAACCUAGGCCAGCCCAAAUAAAACGUGUCUGAGAAAUAAACUUAUUUAACCUUCUGUAUUUUGGAGUCUGU